rnacentral:rRNA from 1 species
AUGUUGCGGAUCUGGAUCGAGACCGGAUCUGGGAUACGCCUCCCCCGCCACCGCCGGGCAGGCCGUCCUUUGCCACCAGCGAUGUCGCUCAGGUCCUGGAGANNNNNNNNNNNNNNNNNNNNNNNNNNNNNNNNNNNNNCACCCACCGGCCACGCCGCGUGCUUGCCCACCUUCAAUGCCAACGACGCCUCGUCCGCCUCUGCCCGCAAUAACUCCCCUCCGCGGAUGGGUGGGUGGCUGGCCUGCUUCAAUGCGACGACGGAGGUGACCCGCUCCCACGCCCACACGCAUUCAACCUUGCCGACCGGGGAGGGGCUCGAGGAGGAGGGCGCUGCGCCAUGGCAGCAGGUCGUGUCCCGUCGCCCGCGUCUCCCGGCUGCUCCUGCUCUGCCUGCUCCAUCCUUCAAGACGUGUUCGCCCAUCCCCGACUGGCUUCAAAAUAGAUGCUUCCACUGCCUCCUACCUCGUCACAAGGCCAAGCACUGCAAAAAUCCUAUCACCUAUCGUCGCUGCUACCGCUCGAGUCAUCGUGCGAGAGAGUGCACCAACAAGCCGGCUCCGCAUCGUCGCCCUGGGGUCUGCGCGGGUGGUCGUCGACCUGCCUUUGCCCCGGCGCAGCAGCCCCCCUCACAGGCGCCUCCCCGUGCUCCUACUCCGCCUCCGCCGCCUCCCCCUCCAGCUGGUGCAAUGGCAUGGAAUGGCGACCACGGGGCAUACCCGGCAGAGGUGCACACCAUCCUACAUGCGACCCCGGCCAUGCUGCAGGAGGCUGCAGUGCUAGGCUCCAAUGCUACCGUCGCCUGGUUCGACAGGGAGGUGACGGCCACGAAGGAUGUAGUCAACACCCUUGUCUGCAAGUGCACCAGCGUGCUGGCCGCCGCCGUGUUCAUCACCGACCACAGCCCGGAGGCCUACCUCAUCCGCUUCGUCCACCAGCAUCACUACGCGUCUAUUGUCAGCUAG